rnacentral:rRNA from 1 species
CACGUAGGGGGGCAAGCGUUGUCCGGAUUUAUUGGGCGUAAAGAGCUCGUAGGCGGCUCGGGUAAGUCAGGUGUGAAACCUCCAGGCUCAACCUGGAGACGCCACCUGAUACUGCUGUGGCUAGAGUCCGGUAGGGGAGCGUGGAAUUCCUGGUGUAGCGGUGAAAUGCGCAGAUAUCAGGAGGAACACCAGCGGCGAAGGCGGCGCUCUGGGCCGGAACUGACGCUGAGGAGCGAAAGCGUGGGUAGCAAACAGG